rnacentral:lncRNA from 1 species
UGGGCCCGUCUUAUCAAGAUACUUACGAGAAUAUUUCUCGUAUCUUUCUCGUAAGUCUCUCGCAAGGUUCUCGUAAGUCUGAUAGGUGUCUUAUGAAAAUUAUCGUAGCUACGAUAUCGUAAGUUUCUACAUAAAAUCCUCGUAAAGUUACGAGAGGGUCAGGGGUCUCGUAAAUAUUUACGAUAUCGUAAAUAAAAUGGCGGCAUCCGUGUGAGCAACCACGACGAAACUUUCUGUCGAAAAUACUGCAGAUUGUUCAGCAGUAAAACUUGAUUUUCCGUGUACAUGUUGCACAACAGUGGAUGAACUACGUCAUCGAUCAUACAAAAGCACGCGCUUUGGGUCAGUGCGACACGAAGCGGAAGCGAGUGUAAAGGAAAUAUUGAGCACAUAAAUUCUGUUUAUCUUCGCUGUUUCCUGUGUUGACAGAUCAAUUGGAGGGACAUGCUGAAUGCCAGAAGAAAUUACAGACAACAAUACUGCUCAGUGCAGUAACCAGACCUAAAAAAAACCACUGCUCAAGGCAAACUUUUGGGACAGAGUGCUGCAUACAUGGGCUUAUGCACAAACUGAGAUUUUGCAAGUCAACUGUCAAAGUCAUAAAGAGAGAUCUAUAGUGGACAAUGUUGAACAGAGUUGAAGUCCUGGAAUCUCGGUCAACUGCAGAUAGCAGCAUGGCGUAAAGCAGACGUCUUGUUUCCCAGUCCAAUUUUAGUCAGGUAUUCUUGGUGGUAUGAAACUGCAGUCAACACAGGUUUUUAGAGGUCUGCAAGUACAGAGUUUUAAAUUGUGAAAUAAAACCUCUAACCAGUUAGCAGUGUGUGUGUGUGUUAUGCUGUGCUGAGAUAUUGCUGUGACAUAUGGUGCAUUAAGGUCCAUAACCUGGUAUUAUAUGUGUUGACAACUGUACAAGACAUCCUAUUGAAGACAGUUGUGAGUGAGCAACAGCCCAAGACACCUUGUUAAUGCUGCCCUGUUACCUACUGAGUUUCUACAUACAAGUCAAGUAUCCAUCAAAGAUUGGCUAUGGUGUUUACAGAACUGAAAGCCAAGCUGUGAUUUUUGAAAAUUUAUUAUAAAGUUCUAAAUGGAAAUACAAUUUGAAAAGCACAGACAACUUCUUGUAUUUUUAAGCUACCACUUAACCAUAGUGUUAAUUGGUUGAUUACAGACAUAAAUGUAUGCCGUGAAGUUCAGUUUAAAAUGACUAAAUAUAAACGCUGUAACAGGAGGAUUGGUCAAUAGCUGAAAGG